rnacentral:rRNA from 1 species
GAUGAACGCUGGCGGCGUGCCUAAUACAUGCAAGUCGAGCGAACGGACGAGAAGCUUGCUUCUCUGAUAUUAGCGGCGGACGGGUGAGUAACACGUGGAUAACCUACCUAUAAGACUGGGAUAACUUCGGGAAACCGUAGCUAAUACCGGAUAAUAUUUUGAACCGCAUGGUUCAAAAGUGAAAGACGGUCUUGCUGUCACUUAUAGAUGGAUCCGCGCUGCAUUAGCUAGUUGGUAAGGUAACGGCUUACCAAGGCAACGAUGCAUAGCCGACCUGAGAGGGUGAUCGGCCACACUGGAACUGAGACACGGUCCAGACUCCUACGGGAGGCAGCAGUAGGGAAUCUUCCGCAAUGGGCGAAAGCCUGACGGAGCAACGCCGCGUGAGUGAUGAAGGUCUUCGGAUCGUAAAACUCUGUUAUUAGGGAAGAACAUAUGUGUAAGUAACUGUGCACAUUUUGACGGUACCUAAUCAGAAAGCCACGGCUAACUACGUG